CCUACGGGAGGCAGCAGUAGGGAAUAUUGCUCAAUGGGGGCAACCCUGAAGCAGCAACGCCGCGUGGAGGAUGAAGGUUUUCGGAUUGUAAACUCCUUUUGUUAGAGAAGAUAAUGACGGUAUCUAACGAAUAAGCACCGGCUAACUCCGUGCCAGCAGCCGCGGUCAUACGAAGGGUGCAAGCGUUACUCGGAAUCACUGGGCGUAAAGAGCGCGUAGGCGGGAUAGCAAGUCAGAUGUGAAAUCCUAUGGCUUAACCAUAGAACUGCAUUUGAGACUGUUCUUCUAGAGUAUGGGAGAGGGAGGUGGAAUUCUUGGUGUAGGAGUAAAAUGCGUAGAGAUCAAGAGGAAUACUCAUGGCGAAGGCGACCUGCUAGAACAUAACUGACGCUGAUGCGCGAAAGCGUGGGGAGCAAACAGGAUUAGAUACCCGGGUAGUC
rnacentral:rRNA from 1 species